CACGUAGGGGGCGAGCGUUUGUCCGGAAUCAUUGGGCGUAAAGAGCUCGUAGGCGGCUCAGUAAGUCGGGUGUGAAACCCUCAGGCUCAACCUGGGGACGCCACCCGAUACUGCUGUGGCUAGAGUCCAGUAGGGGAGUGUGGAAUUCCCGGUGUAGCGGUGAAAUGCGCAGAUAUCGGGAGGAACACCAGCGGCGAAGGCGGCACUCUGGGCUGGUACUGACGCUGAGGAGCGAAAGCGUGGGUAGCAAACAGGA
rnacentral:rRNA from 1 species